AUAUUGGACAAUGGGCGAAAGCCUGAUGGAGCAACGCCGCGUGAGUGAAGAAGGUUUNNNGAUCGNACAACUCUGUUGUAAGGNAAGNACAAGUGCCGUAGUAACUGGCGGCACCUGGACGGUACCUUAUUAGAAAGCCACGGCUAACUACUUGCCAGCAGCCGCGGUAAUACGUAGGUGGCAAGCGUUGUCCGGAAUUAUUGGGCGUAAAGCGCGCGCAGGCGGUUUCUUAAGUCUGGUGUGAAAGCCCCCGGCUCAACCGGGGAAGGUCAUUGGAAACUGGGGAACUUGAGUGCAGAAGAGGAAAGUGGAAUUCCAAGUGUAGCGGUGAAAUGCGUAGAGAUUUGGAGGAACACCAGUGGCGAAGGCGACUUUCUGGUCUGUAACUGACGCUGAGGCGCGAAAGCGUGGGGAGCAAAC
rnacentral:rRNA from 1 species